GUUAGAGUGGUGUAGUGGUUUGAGCAUUGGACUAGGACUCUGGAGACCAAGGUUCAAAUCUUGGCUUGACCA
rnacentral:tRNA from 1 species